CCUACGGGAGGCAGCAGUGAGGAAUAUUGGUCAAUGGGCGAGAGUCUGAACCAGCCAAGUAGCGUGAAGGAUGACUGCCCUAUGGGUUGUAAACUUCUUUUAUAAAGGAAUAAAACGAGGCACGUGUGCCUUUUUGCAUGUACUUUAUGAAUAAGGAUCGGCUAACUCCGUGCCAGCAGCCGCGGUAAUACGGAGGAUCCGAGCGUUAUCCGGAUUUAUUGGGUUUAAAGGGAGCGUAGAUGGGUUGUUAAGUCAGUUGUGAAAGUUUGCGGCUCAACCGUAAAAUUGCAAUUGAUACUGGCAGUCUUGAGUACAGUUGAGGUAGGCGGAAUUCGUGGUGUAGCAGUGAAAUGCGUAGAUAUCACGAAGAACCCCGAUGGCGAAGGCAGCUUACUAAACUGUGACUGACAUUGAUGCGCGAAAGCGUGGGGAGCAAACAGGAUUAGAUACCCCUGUAGUC
rnacentral:rRNA from 1 species